UUUAAAACUACCUCUGAGGUUCAAGGGAACCUGGGUGGUUCAGUCGGUGAAGUCUGCCUUCAGCUCUGGUCAUGAUCCUGGGAUCCUGGAAUCGAGUCCCGUAUAGGGCUCCCUGCUCAAUGGGGAAUCUGCUUCUCCCUCUGCUCUCUCCCUAUGCUUGUGUUUUCUCUCUCAAAUAAAAAAAUAAAAUUUUAAGAAAAUUGUUAGAGCUUGGGUUCCAGCAUCUGACUACAAGAGAGUUUGGUUCUCUGACGGACCAUUACCAGCUACACAAGGCUGGGCAAGUUACUUGACUCAUAAAAAGUCUUGGUUUCCCCAUCUGCAAAUGGAGACAGUUGCCCUUUUCUCAUCUUUGGCGCUGAAAGCACACAGACCUUAGCCCAUUCUGACUCUCAAAUGGUCAAAUUGGCCUAAGAGGUAGAAGGCCCUGGUUUCAUCACUGGCUGUGUAAACCUGAACAAGUCAUAGGAUCUCUGUGGACCUGAGGUAGGAAAGUGCUUAUCUGAAAAACAUAUUGAAUCUCUGUUCUGCCUGCCUCACAAGGUUAUUAAGGGUCAAAAAGAAUAUGUUCCAUUUUGUGUACUGUAAAGCACUUUAUGAAUGCAAAUGAAAUAUUAAGUAUUCAGAUGCAUGUCUGCCUUCCAUGCCAACCUUACUUUCCUCAUCUGUAAAAUGGUACUAAUAAUGCCAAUGCUGCGCGGUUGUGAUUAUUUAAGACAAUGUAUGAAAACACAAUCCCAGUGCCUGGCACUUAAUUGUGAACCAACACAUGACCAUCCUCCUUCUUGGUUUUACAAAACAGCUCACUACCUUUCUUUUCCUACUUGGUCUUUAGCCUGCUCUUGGAAUUAUUUCACAGGUGAGAAGGUUGAGGCUUGGAGAUACCGAGUGACUCAGCACAGUUGUGCAAGCAGUGGCAAAGACAGACCUGGAAACCUGCUCUCCGAUCACCCCUACACAGCAGAUGAAGAAAAUGGUAUUGGCAGAGAACAGUCAAAGAGGAAGGACAUCAUCCAAGGCAUGCAAGACAGAAAAUGAUGUAAUUCUGUUCAGUGGGAAGCCCCAGAGUCCUCCCAGACCUAUGAAGGAGACAAAG
ensembl:lncRNA